CUCGGAUCAGGUAGGAAUACCCGCUGAACUUAAGCAU
rnacentral:rRNA from 1 species